GAUGUUAGCGGCGGACGGGUGAGUAACACGUGGAUAACCUACCUAUAAGACUGGGAUAACUUCGGGAAACCGGAGCUAAUACCGGAUAAUAUUUUGAACCGCAUGGUUCAAAAGUGAAAGACGGUCUUGCUGUCACUUAUAGAUGGAUCCGCGCUGCAUUAGCUAGUUGGUAAGGUAACGGCUUACCAAGGCAACGAUGCAUAGCCGACCUGAGAGGGUGAUCGGCCACACUGGAACUGAGACACGGUCCAGACUCCUACGGGAGGCAGCAGUAGGGAAUCUUCCGCAAUGGGCGAAAGCCUGACGGAGCAACGCCGCGUGAGUGAUGAAGGUCUUCGGAUCGUAAAACUCUGUUAUUAGGGAAGAACAUAUGUGUAAGUAACUGUGCACAUCUUGACGGUACCUAAUCAGAAAGCCACGGCUAACUACGUGCCAGCAGCCGCGGUAAUACGUAGGUGGCAAGCGUUAUCCGGAAUUAUUGGGCGUAAAGCGCGCGUAGGCGGUUUUUUAAGUCUGAUGUGAAAGCCCACGGCUCAACCGUGGAGGGUCAUUGGAAACUGGAAAACUUGAGUGCAGAAGAGGAAAGUGGAAUUCCAUGUGUAGCGGUGAAAUGCGCAGAGAUAUGGAGGAACACCAGUGGCGAAGGCGACUUUCUGGUCUGUAACUGACGCUGAUGUGCGAAAGCGUGGGGAUCAAACAGGAUUAGAUACCCUGGUAGUCCACGCCGUAAACGAUGAGUGCUAAGUGUUAGGGGGUUUCCGCCCCUUAGUGCUGCAGCUAACGCAUUAAGCACUCCGCCUGGGGAGUACGACCGCAAGGUUGAAACUCAAAGGAAUUGACGGGGACCCGCACAAGCGGUGGAGCAUGUGGUUUAAUUCGAAGCAACGCGAAGAACCUUACCAAAUCUUGACAUCCUUUGACAACUCUAGAGAUAGAGCCUUCCCCUUCGGGGGACAAAGUGACAGGUGGUGCAUGGUUGUCGUCAGCUCGUGUCGUGAGAUGUUGGGUUAAGUCCCGCAACGAGCGCAACCCUUAAGCUUAGUUGCCAUCAUUAAGUUGGGCACUCUAAGUUGACUGCCGGUGACAAACCGGAGGAAGGUGGGGAUGACGUCAAAUCAUCAUGCCCCUUAUGAUUUGGGCUACACACGUGCUACAAUGGACAAUACAAAGGGCAGCGAAACCGCGAGGUCAAGCAAAUCCCAUAAAGUUGUUCUCAGUUCGGAUUGUAGUCUGC
rnacentral:rRNA from 1 species